UAUUCUUCGAUAAAUUCAGAGAACGUUUAAACUCAAUCUCAAAGUUGAUUUCGUCACAUGGAUUCCAGAUUUCGAGUGAGUUCGUAAAAUGCACGGAUGCGCAACGCUGAGACUUUGUCAUACAGGCAAAUGCAGAGCACAACUGACAGCAAGUGGCAGUCUGGCAGGCUCUGACCUGACGUUAUCUUUGCCCGGCCGGGCAUCGCAGAUGCAUGCAUCGAUCAGCGGGCAGUGUGUAUUCACUCACUAUUCAGCAAACAUGGCUUUUGCUGCAAACCAGAUUCUGCGCUGGAACUUAUGCUGCUGGAAACAUCUUUUCGGCUCCGUUAGUUUUCGAGGCGACGGACAAAAAUGUGCCGUCGAUGAAGUUAUUAUAAAUUUAUAAGUAGAUCCUAGCAUGUUCACGACGGAUGUUGAAAUGAGAAUCUCAGAUUUUUGCGGGUGUUAAAUAACAUUUUCUAAUGGGAGCUGAGAGAUUUUUCCGGGGACCCGGGCAAUCGGUUUGCAGGUCUAUAAUACUGGAGAAUUUCCUACACUGAUGUAUUUGGCUCGCAAAUGUCCGAUUGUUACGCGCUCCCUUGAAGAACUUCCCGACCAACGAUUAUAUUAAUCUCUUUUGCGCAUGGUUUUUUGAACACGGGUGUUGCUCAUCCGUCCAGAUUCGGAUGACGAACCAGACAUCGUAUCCAGAGUGAUUAACAACGCUCGUCGUCUGAUGGUCUCGUAGAGUUUUCGCCUUGGAUCGCUGUUAAAAGUUUUUAUCAUUUCCCCGUUUUCUCGGAUAACGGGAUUCUCCAGGCCCCCAAUACCCUUGUUUAUCAGAUGAAUCUUCUGGUCGACGGACCCCAACUAACAAACAACUAUAGUGACUUAUAUUGUCUAUACAAUGUAAUUUCGAAAAAGGU